UACAGAGGUCUCAAGCGUUGUUCGGAUUCAUUGGGCGUAAAGGGUGUGUAGGUGGCGCGCUAAGUCGGGGUGUGAAAUUUCGGAGCUUAACUCCGAAACUGCAUUCGAUACUGCGGUGCUUGAGGACUGGAGAGGAGACUGGAAUUCAUGGUGUAGCAGUGAAAUGCGUAGAGAUCAUGAGGAAGACCAGUGGCGAAGGCGGGUCUCUGGACAGUUCCUGACACUGAGGCACGAAGGCCAGGGGAGCAAACGGGG
rnacentral:rRNA from 1 species